rnacentral:lncRNA from 1 species
AGCCUUGGCGAGAUUCUCCAGGCUGACCCGGAGCUGCUCGCGUUCGGCCUCGAGCUCGACGGCGACGUCGUCCCGCUCACACCGCAGACGGUGCGCAGUCCGACCUUUGCACUUUGCUUCUUUUCGGGCCGACUUGAGCUCGGACCCGAGACGAGAGACCUCGUCCACCAACUUCGCCUCCCGAUCGAUCGACUGCUUCAGGUGUUCGACCAGCAUUGCCCGGUCGGCUUCGACGGCCGCCGCCCUGUCCUUCCAAGCCGCCCGGACGUUC